GAGUUUAUUGGCGUGAACAGUAGAGUUCUGGGUAAUUUUUUUUUUGGGUCAAGCUUCGACGACGUUCUAGGAAGGGGCGUGACUGUCACUACCCACUUGAGAAGGAAAGACACCAGCCGAUCAGCCUACGCCCGGAGUCCCGCUGCCGUCCGGUGAAGUGUGUGAGCUCACGCGCCUCCAGAAGUCUCGUGUCAUUCUUCACGCGCCGGCGUGUGCACCCUUUUUUUCUGUGAUUUCUCCGGCAGCGCCUCUUGCCGACGACCUUCCCUGUCCAACGUGCCUCUGACCAACGUGUUUUCACGCCUGGUUUGCACAUUUAAUUUUUUUUUUUGUUACUUUCCGUUGCCCAGUUUCUUGCUUUCUGUCUCGGUACCUAUUUCUUUAAUUGAAAAAUGACUGAUGAAAAGAAAACCUCUGAAACAAAGGCUGGAUUUGUUGGUGAUAAUCCCUUUUUACAAAUUAGUUCUGUAAAGUUGGAUGGAAUUAAUUAUUUGGCAUGAUCUAGAUCUUGUCUACUGUUCAUUCAGGCUAGAGGAUUGCAGGGGUAUAUUAAUGGAGAUAGAAAAAAGCCAGAAAGUACUAGUUCUACCUACAGUUAGUGAGAGUCGGAGAACUCUCUUGUUAUGUUAUAGCUCAUCAAUUCUAUGCAACCUCAUAUAGCUCGUGGGUAUUUACUAUUGGACAGUGCCGCUACCAUUUAGAGUGUUGUUUCUUAGACUUAUUCUCAAGUUGGGAAUGAUGCACAAGUUUAUGAGCUUAGGAACAAGAUUCAUGGAACGAAACAAGGACUUUCAGGCUUCAUCAGCAGUUAAGUUCUAGAAAUUGGUUGAGAAGGAGCGCAUAUAUGAUUUUCUUGCUGGGCUAAAUGUGGAGUAUGAUCAGAUUCGGGUCCAAGUGCUUGGUAAGGAUCCUUUGCCCACCUUAAGGCAGACAUACUCUUAUGUUCAGCAGAAGGAGAGUAGAAAGAGUGUCAUGAUCAAUUCUACACCUGUUGAUAAGGCUUGGUUGGCUGCUAACUCCUUACGAGAAUAGUUAUGUGGUCCAUCAGAUAAGGAUCACUUGCAUUAUGACUACUGUGGGAAAUCUCGGCACACCAAAGAACAAUGUUGGAAGCUGCAUGGCCGCCCAACUAAAGGGCGUGGGGGAAAAAGGAUGGGCUUUGUUAGAUCACAAGCAAAUGUAUCUGAGGCUGUGAGUGUUUCUGAAGAUACUGCUAUCACUUGGAUGUUUUCCAAUGAAGAGGUACAGACUCUGAGACGAUUCCUAUUAUAGCUUGAAUCAGAAUCCACUACAGCUGCCUCUUCUAACUUCGUUAACUCAGGUAAUGCUUUUCUUGCCAAUCAUAAUAAUUCAUUUUGGGUUAUAGAUUUUGGAGCAAACAAACAUAUGACAGGCUCUUUGAAUAAAUUCAUAUCCUAUUCUCCAUGUUCAGGCAAAGAAAAAGUCCGCAUUGCGGAUGGAUCCUUAUCUAAUGUUUCUGGAACAGGUUCUGUUAAAUGCACUCUUAAUGUAAGUCUUAGUUCUGUCUUACAUGUGCCUAGCUUUCCUAUUAACCUUUUAUCUGUCAGUUCUAUCACAAAAGCUCUCAACUGCAAAAUUGAAUUUUUUUCCCACUCACUAUGUGUUUCACGAGUUGAUAAUAGAGAGAACAAUUGACAGUGGUAGACUGCAAGAUGAGCUAUAUCUAUUGAAUGAUUGUGUUGAUCAGGUCAUGUCGGAACAGUCUAUGGGUGCUGAGGAAGAAAUUAUUCAGUGGCAUAGGAGAUUUGGACAUCCUUCAUUUACUGUUUUAGAAAAACUCUAUCAUCUUUUAUUUAAGCAAUGCAAAACUGAAUUGUUAGUAUGUGAUGCUUGUGAGUUUGCCAAAUAUACUAAACAAUCUUAUCCUGCAAUAAAUAAUAAGGUUUCAGUUCGUUUUAUGACUAUCUAUUCUGAUGUGUGAGGGCCUACUCAAACUGUGUCUUUAUCAGGUUAUAGAUGGUUUGUGACCUUUAUUGAUUGUUGCAGUAGGUUAACUUGGGUAUAUCUGAUGAAAGGAAAAAAUGAAGUAUUUUUAUGUUUUCAACAGUUUCACAAAAUGAUUAGCACCCAAUUUGAUGCUCAUGUUAAAAUACUAAGAACUGAUAAUGGCACAAAGUAUAUGAAUGGAGUUUUUCAGAAAUAUUGAAGUCACACGGAAUUUUGCAUUAGACUAGUUGUGUUACCACUAGUGCUCAAAAUGGAGUGUCUGAGAGAAAAAAUAGACAUUUAAUUGAGGUUGCUAGGUCUCUUAUGUUUACAAUGAAUAUUCCUAAACCUUAUUGGGGGGAUGCAAUUCUUUCUGUUGCAUAUCUUAUAAACAGGAUGCCACUCCGGACUUUGGAGUUUAAGAGUCCUUUAGAGGUUUUACAAGGUAAAAAUUCAUAUACUGUUCCUCCAAAGGACUUUAGUUAUGUUAGCUUUGUUCAUCAGCCUAAUAGGAGGAAGUUAGAACCUCGAGCCCUCAAGUUUGUCUUUGUUGUUUAUUCUAGUACUGAGAAGGGGUAUAAGUAUUACCACCCUCUUACACGGAAAUAUUUUUGUGAGCAUGGAUGUUAUCUUUAGGGAAUCUGAAUCUUAUUUCCAUCCACCUUUUUAGGGGGAGCAUAGGAAGGAAGAAGAGGUGUCUUUCCCUUUCCCUUCUUCUUUGUGCUCUCUCAAACUUUCAACUUCAAAGGGAAAAUCUGGGUCUAAAGCCUAUACCUAAUAAUGAUACUUAGGGGGAGUCACCUAAAUCUCGAGGGAGACUGAAUAAACCAGAUUUGAGAAUCUAUACUCGGCGGAACAAGACAGAUAUAGCCAUCGAGCAGUAGACUGUUGAUCAACCGGAAUCUCUGGAUUCAAUUCCUGAACAUCCUGAGGAUUGGAAGAAAGCAUAUCUUGAUCCAAAAUGGAAGGCAGCCAUGGUGGAGGAGAUAAAAGCUCUAGCAAAUAAUGAGACAUGGGAACUUGUUACUCUUCCACUGGGAAAAAAACCAGUUGGAUGCAAGUGGGUGUUCACUGUGAAACAUAGAGCAGAUGGUUCAAUUGAAAGGUAUAAGGUUAGGCUAGUAGCAAAAGGCUUCACGCAGACGUAUGGGGUAAAUUACUAGGAAACGUUUGCUCUUGUUGCUAAAAUGAAUACCAUCAGAAUUUUACUAUCAUGUGCAGUAAAUCUUGAGUGAGAUUUGCAGCAGUUUGAUGUAAAAAAAUGCCUUUCUACAUGGUGAUUUGGAAGAAGAAGUAUAUAUGGAAAUCCCUCCAGGGUUUGAGAAUGGGAAGACCAAAGGAAAGGUUUGCAGAUUGAAGAAAGCACUGUAUGGUUUAAAACAGUCACCUAGCGCAUGGUUUGAUAGGUUUAGUAAGGCUAUGGUUUCUUUUGGAUAUUGCCAAAGCAAUGCUGAUCACACCUUGUUUAUAAAACACUAUAGGGGUAAGAUCACUUUGCUUAUUGUCUAUGUGGAUGAUAUCGUGGUAAUUGGUAAUGAUAGGGGAGAAAUGAUUCAUCUAAAGGAACAACUAGCACAGGAGUUUGAAAUCAAAGAUUUGUGAAGGCUAAAGUACUUUCUUGGAAUAAAGGUUGCCAGAUCAGAUAAAGGAAUCUUUAUUUCUCAAAGGAAGUACAUACUAGAUUUGUUGGAGGAAAUAGGAAUGCUAGGUUGUAAACUAGCAGAGUCUCCCAUUGAGGCAAAUCACAAAUUGCAAGUUGGAGUUGGGGAAUCCGUGGAUAUUGGGAGAUAUCAGAGGUUGGUUGGCAGAUUGAUUUACCUUUCGCAUAUCAUACCAGAUAUAGCAUAUGCAGUAGGUUUAGUGAGUCAAUAUAUGCAUGAUUCUCGUGAAUCUCAUUUGGAGGCUAUUUUCCGCAUCUUACGAUGCUUAAAAUCUGCACCUGGGAAAUGACUUCUUUUCUCAAAGCAUGGCCAUCUUCAGAUUAAGGCCUUUACAGGUGUAGAUUGGGGUGAAUCUCUUGAUGAUAGGAGAUCGACAUCUGGUUACUGUACUUUUGUUGGUGGUAAUCUAGUCACUUGGAGAAGCAAGAAACAAAAUGUGACAGCUAGAUUCAGUGCAGAGGUUGAGUUUAGAGCAAUGGCUCAAGGUAUUUGUGAACUAUUGUGGUUACAAAAGUUGAUGGAGGAAUUAAAAUUGCUGGAAACUAGUGGUUUGUCCCUGUUCUGUGAUAACAAAGUUGCCAGCAGUAUAGUUCACAAUCCAGUUCAACAUGAUCGGACCAAGCAUAUAGAGAUUGACAGACACUUCAUAAAAAAAAAAAAGUUGUCAAUGUUUCCUUAAGUAUUUCUUACGUAGGGUCAAAAGACCAGUUAGCUGAUGUGUUCACUAAGGGUUUAAGUUGUAAGGGGUUUCAUACCCUAGUUUGCAAGUUGGGCAUGUGCAACAUACAUGAAUCAACUUGAGGGGGAGUGUUAGAAUCCCUCAAUUAGUGUAAAUCUCUUAAUCAGUGUAAAUUAGCUGUAAAUUAUAAUAUAAUUAGGAAUCAUUGUUUUAUUAGCUAUUAUUAGUUUCCUAGUUAGUCCUAUCCUUUGUAUAUAAAUUAGAAUGUUUGUAAAUCAUUUUAGUAUGAAGAAAUAUAAAAGAAAAUUUUUCAAA